UUCGGGAAGUGGAUUAGCGGCGGACGGGUGAGUAACACGUGGGUAACCUGCCUCAAAGUGGGGGAUAGCCUUCCGAAAGGAAGAUUAAUACCGCAUAAUAUAAGAGAAUCGCAUGGUUUUCUUAUCAAAGAUUUAUUGCUUUGAGAUGGACCCGCGGCGCAUUAGCUAGUUGGUAAGGUAACGGCUUACCAAGGCAACGAUGCGUAGCCGACCUGAGAGGGUGAUCGGCCACAUUGGAACUGA
rnacentral:rRNA from 1 species